rnacentral:rRNA from 1 species
AUGGACAGGCGCCCUGAUCUUCUGUGAAGGGUUCGAGUUGGAGCACGCCUGUCGGGACCCGAAAGAUGGUGAACUAUGCCUGAGCGGGGCGAAGCCAGAGGAAACUCUGGUGGAGGCUCGAAGCGAUACUGACGUGCAAAUCGUUCGUCUGACUUGGGUAUAGGGGCGAAAGACUAAUCGAACCAUCUAGUAGCUGGUUCCCUCCGAAGUUUCCCUCAGGAUAGCUGGAGCCCAUUACGAGUUCUAUCAGGUAAAGCCAAUGAUUAGAGGCAUCGGGGGCGCAACGCCCUCGACCUAUUCUCAAACUUUAAAUAGGUAGGACGGCACGGCUGCUUCGGUGAGCCGUGCCAUGGAAUCGGGAGCUCCAAGUGGGCCAUUUUUGGUAAGCAGAACUGGCGAUGCGGGAUGAACCGGAAGCCGGGUUACGGUGCCGAACUGCGCGCUAACCUAGAACCCACAAAGGGUGUUGGUCGAUUAAGACAGCAGGACGGUGGUCAUGGAAGUCGAAAUCCGCUAAGGAGUGUGUAACAACUCACCUGCCGAAUUCAAGACUCACCC